CCGCCAUCCCCACCCCUCCCUGCCUCUAGCUCCUCAGCGGCCGACCCCUGGGAGCGGACAGCACAGAGUUAGCCAAGAAGCUGUGGGCACCUCCGCCCCUCCCCCUGCCCUGGCCUCCAAACCUUUCCAGCUCAAGCCCAAAGCUGCUCAAGUGGUGCCCAUUGAAGAGUUCCAAGGUAAGAGGAAGGCCCCGGGCUGGACCAGCCCUCCUCCAGCACCUCUACCCUCACCUCCAUUGGAAAACAGCGAUGCAGAACGGAGGACCCAUGCCUGGCUCAGAAAACCCUCCCGGAGUAGCUGGGUCAAGGUGAAACUGAGCCUCUCUUCCCUCAGUCCUCCCUCCCCAAGGGAGCUGGGAGCAGGUAUGAGUCAGAAGCACAGUGGGCAGGCCCGGGGCAGGCAGAGCAGCGACCAGAAAUAGCCUGUCCUGGCCCCCCUGGGAGGUGUGGCCCAGGGGCUCGUCUCGAUUGGAACAAGAGCUGGAACACAGGGGUCACUGGCA
rnacentral:lncRNA from 1 species